rnacentral:rRNA from 1 species
GACGAACGCUGGCGGCGUGCCUAAUACAUGCAAGUUGAGCGCUGAAGGUUGGUACUUGUACCAACUGGAUGAGCAGCGAACGGGUGAGUAACGCGUGGGGAAUCUGCCUUUGAGCGGGGGACAACAUUUGGAAACGAAUGCUAAUACCGCAUAAAAACUUUAAACACAAGUUUUAAGUUUGAAAGAUGCAAUUGCAUCACUCAAAGAUGAUCCCGCGUUGUAUUAGCUAGUUGGUGAGGUAAAGGCUCACCAAGGCGAUGAUACAUAGCCGACCUGAGAGGGUGAUCGGCCAGAUUGGGACGGAGACACGGCCCAAACGACUACAGGAGGCAGCAGUAGGGAAUCUUAGGCAAUGGACGAAAGUCUGACCGAGAAACGCCGCGGGAGUGAAGAAGGUUUUCGGAUCGUAAAACUCGGUUGGUAGAGAAGAACGUUGGUGAGAGUGGAAAGCUCAUCAAGUGACGGUAACUACACAGAAAGAGACGGCUAACUACGUG